GCUAAAUACUCCUGACUGACCGAUAGUGAACCAGUACCGUGAGGGAAAGGCGAAAAGAACCCCGGCGAGGGGAGUGAAAAAGAACCUGAAACCGUGUACGUACAAGCAGUGGGAGCACCUUCGGGUGUGACUGCGUACCUUUUGUAUAAUGGGUCAGCGACUUAUAUUCUGUAGCAAGGUUAACCGUAUAGGGGAGCCGCAGGGAAACCGAGUCUUAACUGGGCGUUAAGUUGCAGGGUAUAGACCCGAAACCCGGUGAUCUAGCCAUGGGCAGGUUGAAGG
rnacentral:rRNA from 1 species